UACGGAGGAUGCAAGCGUUAUCCGGAAUCAUUGGGCGUAAAGCGUCCGCAGGUGGCAGUUCAAGUCUGCUGUCAAAGACUGGGGCUUAACCCUAGAAAGGCAGUGGAAACUGAACAGCUAGAGUGCGGUAGGGGUAGAGGGAAUUCCCGGUGUAGCGGUGAAAUGCGUAGAGAUCGGGAAGAACACCAGUGGCGAAGGCGACACCCUGGACUCAUACUGACACUGAGGUGCGAAAGCGUGGGGAGCAAACAGG
rnacentral:rRNA from 1 species